ACUUGAGGCAAAACCUUGGGAAUAAGAGUGUCAGAUUCAAGGACAAAGACCUUGAACAUUUUGGCCUGUGGAAUUGAAGUUGUAAUUUCUUUCUCAAAAGUCACAACUCCCAUGAUGGCCUCUAGUAAACGAUCAAGUGAAGGGAAUGAAUAAGGAAGAGGAUAUAAAGAUUUGUAGAAUGUAUUUCGAAGUGAGGUGUGGCAAAAUGCAAGAGCAAUGGGAAGUAUUUAUAGAAUGGGUGUCAUGAUUUCUUGUCAAAAUAUUCCCUGUAGAGGGGCAAACGAAUUUGCUGAAAGGUCAUAGAAAUCAAGCUCAAGUUUGAGAAUGAAUUAAAUAAAAAAGCUGGUGUGCUAAUAUGAAUUAAUAUGAUUGGUUGACCUUCUAGAUACGGCCACUUUUAACCAGUAUUCUAAAAGGAAAUGAAUGGCGGUACUACGUAUAGCAAUUCAGGAUGGAAUUAUUUUGCCAAAAUAAUAAAAGGAAAAGAAUAGUUUGUAGCAUUUCAAUUACUCAUUUGGGAUCAUGGUCUUUGCCAAAGUAUUAAUAGUUUAUAGCAUUUCAAAUCUCCCCUAUUGUAUUUUCUGAAUGAAUACGUUUUGUAAUUUAAGUAAAACAUGUUACUCGCCUAGUGUUCUACUACUAAAAUAAACGAUUUUAAUUAAAGGGAAGUCAUUAUUAAUAAGAAGCCAUCUUUUUCUAUGAUUGAAAUUAACUCUGAAGAUGAUUAUGUUUUAUAUUUUAUUUAGAAAUAAAGAUAACUAUAUAAGAUUAUAUAAUAAAAGGUGAGCUAACGCAAUGUGAGGCUUGAAUUAUAAUUUUUGUUAUUAAUAUGAAUCCGUUUUCUUUUCUUUGGUCAAUUCAGGUUGCUUAUUUCUAGUAGUUUAAAGAUUCUUUGACAUUUAGUUAAAUAUAAGUAAAACUUGAAUGAUAGUCAGGUCUCUUUUCAGAUUGAAAAAUUGUUGCUGUUGAACCAACAAUUGAUUGAUAGUAGGCCUGGCCACAGUUUAGGAACUUUUGAUUUGUGUUUUCAUGGCUCCUGAGACCGAUUGGUUCUAGUUUAUGAUUUCGAUUCCAACCAAUUUCAACUGGUGUAAAAAAAAGAUUGGCUUCAAACUUAAUUUUUUCUAUAAAAAAUCAAACUAUCUAUAUAAUAAAUGAUGUUAAUAAAAUAAAUGAGAUAAUGUUAAAAAUAAUUAUAUGAAGAAAAGAUUGAAAAUAAGUGAAAUAUUCUUUUCCAGGAUUUUGAUUCUAGCUUGAGGGGAAUCAGAGUACAGGAGUAGUUCGAGCCUUUUUCCGCAUUUGAUCGUCUGGGGUACGAGCCAGCAUGUUAGAAAGGCUAAUUGAUAAGGGUGUAUUUUUUAUUUGAAUUUUCUUUUUCAUAUUUCAAAUAUAUUUCACUCUUACGUUUUUCUUAUCUUUUGUUAAUAUGUCCUUUUCUUUUCAAUUCGCUAUAGUAAAUAUCCAUUUCAUCCAUUUUGUGAGAAAAUCAACUAGUUAAUGGAUUAAUUUUUUAAAAAUAAAAAUUCUAUUUGGCUCAUAAAAUUUCUGGUUUUUAGUUAAACUAAACUAAAAAAUAUAUUUCAUAAAUCUUGGAAAAACAAAUAAAAUUUUAAAGAAAUCAGACUAAAUAAAACUCUCACCAAAUCAUAAUAGAUUUAUUUUUACUUUACAUAUAUUUCCUUAAAAAAAAUUAAAAAAAUUGACUUAUUUAUUUAUUUUUAAAUAAAAGCAAUGACAAUUUAAUACCAAUUUUAUGCUGAUUUGAUAAGAAGAUUUAAUUUUAAAUGAAUUUCAUUACAUAAAAAAUUUAGACAUCAAAUAUAAUUUUUAAUUUUUUUAAUUAUUCCAUUUACUAGUUAAUGUUUGAUAAAAAUAGACAGAGAAAAUACUUAGUAUAAUGAAUUGAAAAUGCAAAAACGUAAAAGUACAAAUUUUGAAAUACAGAGAAACUAAAACAAAAAAAAUUACUAAAUGUUUAUUAUGAACUUGAGCUUUAUACUCCAUAAUUAAUUCAUUGAUGGAGUAUAUAAACCAACUAUUCAAUACAAGUAUACACCGUUAAACUUUUAUUGUCAGGUCAAAAAAGGUUUGACCCUCCAUCCAGAAAAAAAAAAAAAAAAAGAGAAAAAAUACAGAUAAUUAAUUUAGCAGGCAUCGGGAUUUGCCAAGACAUAAGCCUCAACGGCCUUAAACAUGCCGAAGGCCUUCUCUGCUCCAGCCUUCACUCUUUCUUCAUUGAUCUUACAGCCUUCCUUAGGGUAGUACUUGCUGAUGCUUUUGACAAUAGAUCCUCCAUCAGGAGAAGCCAUAACCUUAAUUUCAUAAGAAGUCUUCUCUAGUCCAUCCAUCCAUGGCUCACCUCCAAUGACACUGUAGCAGUGUGUGAAAUUAUCUUUGUCUGUUGCUUCAACUCUGGUCUUAAUAUACUUAACUUCACCACCUAAAAAAAAUUAAAGAACACGUUAAUUAUCUAAAUCUUAAUUUCAGUUUUACUUAUUAAUUUGAGCAAUGCAUGUAUAUCUAGUAUUUAAUAUAUGAUUUUUGAAAAAUUAUAGCUAACCUUCAGCAAAAGAAGUCUUUUUAAUGGUUCCUGGUCCGCCAUUUCCUUCAAGAAACUCAAUACUAACUUGAGGCAAAACCUUGGGAAUAAGAGUGUCAGAUUCAAGGAUGAAGGCCUUGAACAUUUUGGCCUGUGGAACUGAAGUUGUAAUUUCCUUCUCAAAAGUCACAACACCCAUGAUGGCCUCUGGUAAAGGAUAAAGUGAAGGGAAUGAAUAAGGAAGAGGAUAUAAGUAUUUGUAGAAUGUGUUUCAAAGUGAGGUUUGGCAAAAUGCAAGAGCAAAGGGAAGUAUUUAUAGAAUGGGUGUCAUGAUUUCUUGUCAAAAUAUUCCCUGUAGAGGGGCAAACGAAUUUGCAGAAAGGUCAUAGAAAUCAAGCUCAAGUUUGAGAAUGAAUUUUAUGAAAAAGCUGGUGUGCUAAUAUCCAUUAAUAUGAUUUGCUGACCUUCUAGAUACAGUCGCUUUUGACAGUAUCCUAAAUAAUAUACGGUUUUUAUUUUUAAUCAGUACUCUAAAGAGAAAUUGCCAAUAGAAAAAUGAAUGGUAUGCGCAUUGAUAGUACUUUAAAGACUAGUUUGUCUAUUACAUGUAUGGACUCUUCUGUGUAGCAAUCUGUUUUUUGUUUUUUUAUUUUCUGGUUAAUCGGAGCAGAAAGGCUUCACAAUUUCACAACUUCAGAAAUACGUGCUAUUGAGCCAAAGCUGAUUUAAAGAAUAUAUUGCUUACAUAUUAUUUUAGGCUAAUAUAACUCAAUUAGGAAGUUCCAACAUUUUUUUAAUUUAUUCUGUUAGAAGAAAAGAAUACUAUAUAAUUUUAUUUAUUCUUUUAUUAAUAUAUUAAAAUGCGCUAAGAGGAUAUGAAUCUAAUUGAAAUAUUCACGCGUAUUUAUUGGAAAUUUUUUCUGUCAUUUUAUUGAAAAGAAUAUUUUGGAUUAUUACCUAUGAUAUGCUCUUUGCUUAAGUUUUAGAUAUGCGACCAUUACCGUAUUAUAUUUGUGGUAGCAAUUAUAGUUCAAUGUCCUCUAUUUUAUGAAUGAGUUCAUGUUGAAUUUUAGGCAUUAAGGUAUGUAGAAUUUUAUGAUUGUGAUGAAAUUGAUUAAUGAUGAAAUGAUUUAUUAGGAUUUUGAGAUUUACAGUAUGAAGCAAUUUUGUUUAUAUACAUCCAUAUGUGCAACGGUCCCUAAUCUAUCCUAACGUCUGCCCAUGGUCUACGUAACGUCUAAUGCCCAUUUGGGAAAGGUCUGUGAUGACAUGUCUGUACAACUUCCUGCCGUACAGACUUGAGGCCUUCCUUAUGCUCCUUUUCUGUUUUGCUUGCUGUUUUUGUAUGUUUCGUAAUAUGGUCUUUCAACAAGGUAAGUAAAACAUGUUCCUUAUUUUGGGUUUUACUAUUUUUUUCAAAUGAAAGUUAUAUAAUACAUAUCCAGACAUCCUAACUAUGUUGACGCUUUAGAUUCUACUAUUAAUACAAACGAUCUUAUUGAAUUAAAAAAGGUCAUAACUAAUAAGAAAUCACCUUCAUAUGUGAUUGAAAUUAAUUUUUUGAAGACAAGUAUCGCGAUCUAUUUAGAGAUAUAGUUAACCUGACGCAACGUGUGACUUGAAUUUGUCAUCCCAUUUAAUAUGAUAGGUACUGUCUAUAUUUAAUUCAGGCUGCUUACUUUGAAAGAGGUUCAAUAUUCUAUGCAAAUAAAACUCGAAUGAUAGUCAAGUCUGUUUCGAGAAUUUAAAAAUAUGUAUCAAUCAAACCGAUAGGUGAUAAAUAGGAUUGUUCCGAUUCUUUUUUAUUUUAUUUUUAUGUUAGUAAGAAUAUGUAUUAGGUAGCGGCUUUGUUGUUUUGAAAUUUUAUAAGACUUUGUGCUCCCAAAUCUAUCCUAAUUUGGUAAAAAAAAAUAAUUCAGCUGAAUAUAAUAUUAAUUUAAAAAAAAAAAGUUUUCCAAAGAAGAUCUUGUCUUAAUGGAAUAACAUUUGAUUCUGGAUGAAUUUCAUUACAUCAAAAAUUUAUGGGUCAAAUAGAAUUUUUGAGUUUUUGAGUUAUUCCAUUUACAAGUUAAUUUUUGAUAAAAAUAAAUUGAGAAAUUAUUCAGUACAAUGAAAUAAAAAUAAAACAAAAUAAUACCAUAAAAUUGAAAAUGCAGAGUAACUAAAUAAAGGAAAUUACGAUAUAUUUAUUGUGAACUUGGGGCUUAUACUCCAUAAUUAAUCUAUUGAUAGAGUUUAAACCAAUCAGUCACUUUUAUUGUGUCAAAAGUGGUUUGACCCUCCAUCCCUAAAAAAAAAAAGAGAGAAAAAUACAUAAUAAAUAAAUAAAAACAUGAAAAUUAAUUCUUCACUCCAUGUUGGAUAGAUACAAAUUAGCAGGCAUCAGGAUUUGCCAAGACAUAAGCCUCAACAGCCUUAAACAUGUUGAAGGCCUUCUCUGCUCCAGCCUUGACUCUUUCUUCAUUGAUCUCGCAGCCUUCCUUAGGAUAGUACUUGCUGAUGCUCUUGAUAAUGGAUCCUCCAUCGGGAGAAGCCAUAACUUUAAUUUCAUAAGAAGUCUUCUCAAGUCCAUCCAUCCAUGGCUCACCUCCAAUAACGCUGUAGCAGUGUGUGAAAGUAUCUUUGUCUGUUGCUUCAACUCUGGUCUUAAUAUACUUAACUUCACUACCUAAAAAAAUGAAAGAACACGUUAAUUAUCUAAGUCAUAAUUUUCUUUUACUUAUUAAUUUGAGCAAUGCAUGUAUAUCUAAUAUUCAAUAUAUGACUUUUGAAAAAUUAUAGCUAACCUUCAGCAAAAGAAGUCUUUUUAAUGGUUCCUGGUCCGCCAUUUCCUUCAAGAAACUCAAUACUAACUUGAGGCAAAACCUUGGGAAUAAGAGUGUCAGAUUCAAGGACAAAGGCCUUGAACAUUUUGGCCUGUGGAAUUGAAGUUGUAAUUUCUUUCUCAAAAGUCACAACUCCCAUGAUGGCCUCUAGUAAACGAUCAAGUGAAGGGAAUGAAUAAGGAAGAGGAUAUAAAGAUUUGUAGAAUGUAUUUCGAAGUGAGGUGUGGCAAAAUGCAAGAGCAAUGGGAAG
rnacentral:lncRNA from 1 species